rnacentral:rRNA from 1 species
ACAACUUCUAACGGUGGAUCUCUUGGCUCGUGGAUCGAUGAAGAACGCAGCG